rnacentral:rRNA from 1 species
CAAGGUUAACCGCAUAGGGGAGCCGGAGGGAAACCGAGUCUUAAUUGGGCGUUAAGUUGCAGGGUAUAGACCCGAAACCCGGUGAUCUAGCCAUGGGCAGGUUGAAGGUUGGGUAACACUAACUGGAGGACCGAACCGACUAAUGUUGAAAAAUUAGCGGAUGACCUGUGGCUGGGGGUGAAAGGCCAAUCAAACCGGGAGAUAGCUGGUUCUCCCCGAAAGCUAUUUAGGUAGCGCCUCGUGAAUUCAUCUCCGGGGGUAGAGCACUGUUUCGGCUAGGGGGCCAUCCCGGCUUACCAACCCGAUGCAAACUGCGAAUACCGGAGAAUGUUAUCACGGGAGACACACGGCGGGUGCUAACGUCCGUCGUGAAGAGGGAAACAACCCAGACCGCCAGCUAAGGUCCCAAAGUCAUGGUUAAGUGGGAAACGAUGUGGGAAGGCCCAGACAGCCAGGAUGUUGGCUUAGAAGCAGCCAUCAUUUAAAGAAAGCGUAAUAGCUCACUGGUCGAGUCGGCCUGCGCGGAAGAUGUAACGGGGCUAAACCAUGCACCGAAGCUGCGGCA